CUGGGUCUAAAGUCCAAUAAAGUAAACAACCCACUUAACAAAUAACUCCAGCCAUACUAAUUAAAAUAAAGGGCAGCCCAAUCAAACUUAGAAUUCGGCCCAAAUAAGUCCCUUCAUGUGUAAACACAAGGUUGAACAGCCGAUAUCUCAUUCCCUGUCGCUCAUUCUCAAUUCUGCACAAAAUAGAACACCUUUAUCUCUCUCUUCGAUCGGUCUCCGGUGAAGCUGUCGCCGCCGUCCGCCCUUGCGCCGGCGUCGCUCCGCCUGAGUCCGACGCCUCUCCCUCUUCUCUUCUCCUCUUUAAAUUUCUCUAUCCAGCCUACCCAAAUCGAGCCCAAGCUCUUCAAAAUAGGUUACCGUCGCCGCUGUAAUCACUGAGUUCCGGCGAACGCCGGCUGUCUCUCCGUCUGCCAUCUUCUCUCUCUCUAUGUCUCUCCUCUUAAUUACAUAUGUUCGAGGAGAAAGAGGCGAGCCCUAAUUUCUCCUCCACCAGAAAUCGUCACCGUCGCCGUCACUGAGGCAGCGAUCGGGGCCGCUGCUGCCGCCGUUUCUGAGGUCGGGCGAGGCCAUAGACGUAACUUCCUCAUUGGUUCUCUCUCUUUUCAACUCAAGGGAAGAGGUCUUCUUCUAGGACCGAGCCCUAGCUCUUCGUCCUUAGAAAUUUUCACCGCUCUGCUAUUUCUGGCAAAGUCAACGCUGCACCCUGACUCCGGCGCCGCCCUCCCCUUCUUCGACUCUAUUAUCUCUCUUCCCUUUUUCCUUUCAAAAUUGAGCUAAGCUCUUCUCUCUUGCCGUCAUAGGUCCGCUGCGGACAGGUGAACCACUGCCGCUGCUCUUCCGAGCGUUGGCGAAACCAUCGCGGCUCUGGUUCGGCCCGCCGUUGGCUCCGGGUUCACGAAUCGCUGCUGAAAUCUGGACGAAUCGGCGAGGGUCGUCGUCUUCCUUCUAACUCGAUGGGGAUGGGGCAGUCAGCCGAUUCCUUCCUAAAAGCUAAGUUCUCUCUAUGGUUAUCACAUUCUAAUAAUCUCAGUUUGUUUCCGACUAUGCAAUUAUACUGCUAUGCAUCAUUCUAUCUAACUACAAAACAUGGUUGCUAUGGGUGAUCCAUUAUGCAUAUAUAUAUAAAGGUCCUCUGUUGUUUAUAAAACUGAUCAUGUUGUUGAUAUGAAUGCGGACUGAAUUGAGUAUCUGGGGUAGCAAUAAUACCUUGAGUAUUUUGUUGGUUCGCUAUCGUUGGAGUUUGGAAUGAAGCUGAUAGGAUCUGCAAUAGAAUUAUAUGCUGUUUCUGUUAAUAAUGCAGGGGAAAGAUCAUGGCAGGAGGUGGAAGAAGUAAAAGCCAAAGCUUACCUUGAGAAUUUGGCGGAAGUAAUAAUGGAGGAUUCCUCCUCUUCGGUAAUUUCCUUAGUGAAGAAAUGAGAGUGAAAUCAGUGUUUAUUGGCUGAAGUUGUAGGUUGUUGGCUAUGAACUUGAGUGUGCUAGUGAGAUGGUACGAAAGUAGGGUGGCUGACUUUGACCACCUGCUGGUGAAGCAGCUCCAGCUGCAAAGGUGAGAUGGGACGGUACAGCUACAGAUGAGGGAGGGAGGGAGUUGCUGUUGCAGCUGUUCUUCUCCUUUUUUCUCUUUACUUCUUUUUCUUUUAUUCAUCCAGAUGAUGCAAUAGGUAGGUUGUAAAAUAUAGUGAUGUGAUGAAUAAAAUCCCUUUGUCUUGGUAAAACUGUAUAGAUAAAUCUAAUUCGGGUCUGCUAAAUAAAGAUGCUUCAUUAUAAAUCUCUAAG
rnacentral:lncRNA from 1 species